CCGCCGCCUGGGGCCGCCCGCGCCCCGCCCCGCCCCGCCCCUCCCGCGGGCUCGCGGCCGUAGGCCUGGUUCCGGGCGUGGCUGGGGGUCGCGGUCCCCGGCCGGCCCACGCGAGGGAGGCGGCUGCGUGUCCGAGAGUCCCCGGGGAAAUAAGGCGAACCCGCAGCAGGGUCGAGCCCUUGCCGACAGCGCCGGGCUCGGGCGAAGCCUGCGGUCGAGGGAAGCGGAGCCGCCCAGCCCGAAGCUCGGAGUGCGCCCGCCGCCUCCCCCGUGAGAGGAAACUUGAAACUCCCGCUGGUGCCAGCAAAACUCACUGAGGGCGUUGCCGUCGCCCCCGGAGGAGAAAUGCUUCCCAGAGGGAGCCGGGGACCAAAUGGAGCGUGAGACCUGGCUGUUAGGACCGAAAAGGGCCUACCUGAGCGGAAUUGAGAUUUGCCACAAAGAACGUUUUCAUUAUUCGGGCAGGUUUCAGCCAACUAGAAAAACUUAAUUUUUCAGCGACAAUUUUUAAACUUCACCAAAACCUCAAAGGAUAUGGCCGCAAAUCAGGAGUGCAAAUUUUAAUCCAACCAAGGAUGUGCGAACAAACAGUGACCUGCAGGCCCUUUGCUAGUUUGAGUAAGUCUCCCAUCACCCCCAGAUGGGACCAUCUAGUUCCAGGAAAAUAGCUCAGGGCUCCCACUGAUUCUACAUUAUGGACACAUAGCAACCAGGUGCUAUAUUUGAAGCAGAGAGACCCAGCCCUCACCAGACAUGAAAUCUGCCAGCACCUGGAUUUUGGAAUUCCCAGCCUCCAGAACUGUGAGAAGUAAAUUUCUGUUAUUUAUAAAUUACCCAGUCUAAGAUAUGUGACUUGUGGCUUCUGCCACCAGAUCAUCAAAGGCACUGCUGCUUCCUCCUUGCUAACUCUUUCUGAGAUCACUUGUUUUGAGGCUAGCCAGAUGCCAUGUUGUAAGGACAUUCAAGGAGCCGGUGGAGAUGCCGUGUGGUGAGAAAUGGAAGCCCCCUGCCACCUGCAAGGACUUGAGGCCUUCUGCAAACAGCCGUGUACGUGAGCCAUGUGGAAGUGGCUAGAUCUGGACUCAGAGAAGCUUUCAAAUGCCUGCAGCCCCUGCCAACAUCCUGAAUGCUCCCCCUAGGAAACCCUGAAUCAGAACCACUCAGCCAAGCUGCUCCAAAAUUCCUGACCCACAGAAAUUGUAAGAGAAUGAAUGUCUGUCGUUUUAAGUCACUAAGGUGUGGGGAUAAUUUUUUUAUGUAGCAAUAAAUAAACAAUACGUUUACCUAUAAGCAAUUCCCACUCGAGAUAGGCCACUUUAUUUUUGAAAAAUGAUUGACUAUAUAAUGCAAGCAUACACUUUUUUUUUUUUUUUUUUUUGAGACGGAGUUUUGCUGUUGUUACCCAGGCUGGAGUGCAAUGGCACGAUCUCGGCUCACUGCAACCUCUGCCUCCUGGGUUCAAGCAAUUCUCCUGCCUCAGCCUCCCGAGUAGCUGGGACUACAGGCACGCGCCACCAUGCCCAGCUAAUUUUUGUAUUUUUAGUAGAGACGGGGUUUCACCUUGUUGACCAGGAUGGUCUCGAUCUCUUGACCUCAUGAUCCACCCGCCUCGGCCUCCAAAAGUGCUGGGAUUAUAGGCGUGAGCCACCGCCCCCAGCCAGCAUACACCUUUUUAGAACUAGACAGAACUUCUAAAUAAAGUUUUACUCAUACUUUGCAGAAACAGAAAUUGAGACCUCCAGAGUUUGUCUUGCUCAAAUCUGGUCAUCUAUCACUGUUCUUUAUCUCAGCUAGAGACACAGGUCUCAUCCUUAACACCUCCUGGCUCCUUCACGAAUCCUAUACCCAAUUUAUUACUUAAUGCUAUUUUUAAUUACUUAAUUCUAUUAAUCCUUUGCCUCUGCCUACCUCUUUUUGUUGUUGUUCUUAAUGUUUUCUGGCCUCCAGCAAUAGUCUCCUAAUUGGUCUCAUGUUGAUUCAUGAACCUACAACUGGUUCUCAAUUCUGCAUCCAGAGUUCAUGUAUUGAAAUACAAUUAGAAUGAUCUCGGCUCUCCGCCCAUCUCCCUCACUCUCACUCUCCAGACACAUUUGUUGACUUCCAACUGCUGGUCAUUGGUUUGCACUUGUUCUCCGAGCUCAGGUCAUUCUGGCCUUCUGUAACUCCUAGAAUAUAAUGGUUCCACACCCAAGCCACUAGGACUUUGCAUAUGCAGUUCCUGCAGCCCCAUUCACCUAGUUGACACCUACUUAUCCUAUAGACCUAAAUCACAAUUCAAGUCUGUGCUAACUUCCCUGGUACAAUCUUCGGAUUCCCUGGUACAACUUUUCUUUGUAGCACUAAAUAGCAGUUACAUUGUUAAUGCUUGGAUUUUCAAAAUUGAUGUCUGUCCUCUCUGAUAGAAUACAAGUUUAUAAAUGCAAGGACAAUAUACAUUUCAUUUGUGUGUUUUGGCACUUAGUACAGUGCUCAGGGCAUUAUAAAAUGUCUGAUAACUCUUUGUUAAGUGGAUGGCCGGUGCAGUGGCUCAAGCCUGUAAUCCCAGCACUUUGGGAGGCCGAGGUGAGUGGAUCACGAGGUCAAGAGAUCGAGACCAUCCUGGUCAACAUGGUGAAACCUGUCUCUACUAAAAAUACAAAAAUUAGCUGGGCAUGGUGGCGCAUGCCUGUAGUCCCAGCUACUCGGGAGGCUGAGACAGGAGAACUGCCUGAACCCAGGAGACGGAGGUUGCAGUGAGCCGAGAUUGGGCCAUUGCACUCCAGCCUGGGUAACGAGUGAAACUCCGUCUCAAAAAAUAAAAGAUAAAGUAUAAAUCCCUUUGGAUUUUGAAAGGUGUUCUUCCCCCACUAUGGAAAUGAUUUUGAAGGGUGGUUCAGUUCUGAGGCUGGCCUAGAUAUAGCUGAGCAAUAUACUCUGCAACCAGCAAGGCCUGUCUGUUCAGACCCUUCUUGCCCUUCCUGUAGAGAAAUCCUUCCUGGAUACAGGACAGACAAGGUAGGUCAGAUCAUAUCUUUAUGGCCAGCUCUUACGCAGAAAGUCGUGGGAGGUUAGAGGAAUUUUUCCAGAUUUUAUGAGUGGCUUUGGUGGAGAGGGGUUCUGGUUUCUCUGAACAGCCUCAGGGAAAGGGAAUUUAAUGUCUAUGGCUUGCCUUGCUGGAGAAAUAGCAUGGGAGACAGGAAGGCAGGGGAAGGUCAGAGACUGCUUCCAAAGCUGCUUCUGAGGCCUUCUAAUUUCUGUUAUUCCAAAGUGUUCAGCAUGCCAAAGCACCACAUUUUGGGGUAUCAUUUUCCUGUGUUGUUUUUUUAGGCAAAGAGCUAAACAGUGGUAUUUCAUGGGAUAUCAUUUUCGAACCCCAAUAGUUGACACAGGUUCAAGUGUGAUUUAAAUUUCAAAAGUCACUCAAACUACUCGUCUUCACAUUCAUUUCUUCAUUCUUCACACAGGUAGUCCUCUAAGGUUAUUCUGUAACAUCCAAUCCAACCCUCCCUUUGUUAGAGUUCUUUUAUUCUCUGCUUUUUUUCUGGAUUUCAAGAUAAGAUAACAAAAGUUUGCUAUGUAAACAAAGGUUAUCGACCAUUUUUUCACACAGCAAACUUUUGUUAAGACCUGCAAAGGACCAAGCAUCAUGAAAGCACCAGGGUCAAGAUACGUGCACAUAUGAUUUCAAUAUACUCUUCAUCAAUUUAGUACAUUUGUCUAACAUACUGCAAUUGCUAAUGGAUAUACACAUUGCUUACUUCUAAAUCACAUUUUAGAUUAUUUCUUUCUGAGCAAGUUCUUGUAGACCUAAUCUGAAGUAAAUUUAUUCAUUCUUUGACUUCAAAUAGUAUAACUUUGUCUGCUUUUUAACCAUUUUUCUUUCCAAAUAUCCCAGUGAAAGCUGAUCUAACAUUGGGUCUACGGACCUUGGCACUGCCUGAAUUCUCUUGAGGGCCAAGGGCCCUCCAGCGUCACAGACUGUCUGAGACUAAAUAAUUCAUUUGUGCUACCCCAGGAGGGACACAUGAAUCACUUCGGUAAAGGUCAGAAUCAUCAAAAAAAAAAAAAAAAAAAGACCCAGACGACUCAGCAUUUUGUAUUAUACAUUGCACAAAAAUAAAAAUGCACUUGUCCUGU